rnacentral:rRNA from 1 species
CAGCCGCCGCGGUAAUACGGGGGGUGCAAGCGUUACUCGGAAUCACUGGGCGUAAAGGACGCGUAGGCGGAUUAUCAAGUCUCUUGUGAAAUCUAACGGCUUAACCGUUAAACUGCUUGGGAAACUGAUAACCUAGAGUAAGGGAGAGGCAGAUGGAAUUCUUGGUGUAGGGGUAAAAUCCGUAGAUAUCAAGAAGAAUACCUAUUGCGAAGGCGAUCUGCUGGAACUUAACUGACGCUAAUGCGUGAAAGCGUGGGGAGCAAACAGGAUUAGAUACCCCCGUAGUCCCUGUCUCUUAUAC